rnacentral:rRNA from 1 species
UACGUAGGUGGCAAGCGUUAUCCGGAAUCACUGGGCGUAAAGCGCACGUAGGCGGCUUUUUAAGUCAGGGGUGAAAUCCUGGAGCUCAACUCCAGAACUGCCUUUGAUACUGGGAAGCUUGAGUCCGGGAGAGGUGAGUGGAACUCCGAGUGUAGAGGUGAAAUUCGUAGAUAUUCGGAAGAACACCAGUGGCGAAGGCGGCUCACUGGCCCGGUACUGACGCUGAGGUGCGAAAGCGUGGGGAGCAAACAGG